rnacentral:rRNA from 1 species
GACGAACGCUGGCGGCGUGCUUAACACAUGCAAGUCGAACGGAAAGGCCCUGCUUUUGUGGGGUGCUCGAGUGGCGAACGGGUGAGUAACACGUGAGUAACCUGCCCUUGACUUUGGGAUAACUUCAGGAAACUGGGGCUAAUACCGGAUAGGAGCUCCUGCUGCAUGGUGGGGGUUGGAAAGUUUCGGCGGUUGGGGAUGGACUCGCGGCUUAUCAGCUUGUUGGUGGGGUAGUGGCUUACCAAGGCUUUGAUGGGUAGCCGGCCUGAGAGGGUGACCGGCCACAUUGGGAUUGAGAUACGGCCCAGACUCCUACGGGAGGCAGCAGUGGGGAAUAUUGCACAAUGGGCGGAAGCCUGAUGCAGCAACGCCGCGUGCGGGAUGACGGCCUUCGGGCUGUAAACCGCUUUCGCCUGUGACGAAGCGUGAGUGACGGUAAUGGGUAAAGAAGCACCGGCUAACUACGUG